GCCGGAGUGGUGAAAUUGGUAGACACGCAUGCUUCAGGUGCAUGUGGCCUUAACAGCUGUGCAGGUUCGAGUCCUGUCUCCGGCA
rnacentral:tRNA from 1 species